CGGAGGGUGCGAGCGUUGUCCGGAACCACUGGGCGUAAAGGGCGCGUAGGCGGCCUGAUAAGUAGGGGGUGAAAUCUUGCGGCUUAACCGCAAGGCUGCCUUCUAAACUGUCGGGCUCGAGCACAGUAGAGGCAGGUGGAAUUCCCGGUGUAGCGGUGGAAUGCGUAGAGAUCGGGAAGAACAUCAGUGGCGAAGGCGGCCUGCUGGGCUGUUGCUGACGCUGAGGCGCGACAGCGUGGGGAGCAAACAGGAUUAGAUACCCUGGUAGUCCACGCCGUAAACGAUGGGCACUAGGCGUCGGGGGGAGCGGACCCUCCCGGUGCCCGUCGCUAACGCAGUAAGUGCCCCGCCUGGGGAGUACGGCCGCAAGGCUG
rnacentral:rRNA from 1 species